UCCGCUGGCCUUAGGAGCCAUCUCUCU
rnacentral:tRNA from 1 species